GUGUAGGAGGAAGAACGGGAAGGCAGCGUGGAAGAGGGGUGAUGGGGUGCAAAAGGAUGCAGAGGCAGUCCAGGAACAUGGGCAGGCUGCUGACGUCACAUACUGUUAUUGAUAAGGCGGAGGAGAGGAGGCUGACUUUGACAGCUCACCCUGGGCUGUUUUCUGCAUCAGCAAAAUGGCUGCUCAUCUCCAAGAUUCAACAAGAUCUGUUUCCAGAUUCACUUGUGCAUCACCUUUGUGAAGGACAAAUUUUUCAGUGAAUGGGCAUAAUCACACCUGUUAAUAAAUUCAAAAUACAAGAGUGAGUCACUCAGCAGCGCUAACAUACAAUGCAGCAGCGUGGCAAGCAGCAGCAGGAGCUUUACUGCAAAUGUUGGCUCAUUCUGCCACAAUAACUAAUCAUACAAAUGUCCUUGCAUUGCUCAAGUAUUCAUUUCAGUAUUGACCUUUAACAGACAACCCUCAUCAUGUUGCAGGCUUACCAGAAAAAAGACACUACAAGCUACUAUUUUAGUAUUUUUUCAACAAUCACAACCAUACAUUAUGAGGAUCCAUGCCCUCUAAACUUUCCACUGAGUCAUUUGAUCCACAUAGUUUAUUGAUUUCUCCUUUUCUACUCUCCUCUGUCAUCGGCACCACUGCUAGCAGUGCAGGGUGUCACGCCUUUGUCUGAGACAGGCUGCUUUGUGCAGCCAAUAGCACACGUGUAGACAGCAGAGUCGGUGGGAUUAUAAGAACAAGGGGUGCUUCAUUGGCUGGUCAAUGUGGCAGCAUGUUUGGUUGUAAACUGCUGUUUCCCUACAUUUUUCCUGUCCGAACCCACAGAGGGUGCCAGUGACACAUGUAAUCUAUGUACACAUGAAGGACUAAACACUUGUAGUACAUACAAAACAAAUACAACAACUCAAGCAUUCAAAAUAUGUACUUGAUUUGAUUUUUAAAAAAUAUAAGAUUAAAAGAAAUCAAUACAUCCAACAUUAUAUUUACAUACAUUUUUGUUGCUUUUCUUCCCGUCUGUAGCCAUUCGAGCCAGAGUAAUGACAACAUUGUUCAAUCAAUUAUCCCACAUUAUGGUAUACAUGCACGUGGUCACAUCAGCUCACGGAGAUAAUGUCUAUGACUGAACACACCCUUUUCUCAUCAGAGCAGGUGUCUCUUUGUAUCAUACGUUCAGUUAUUAACUGUCUCUGCAGUCUGAGGAGUCAGACAGCGAUGCUCUGGUCUGCAUAGGACAGUUUAAUGUAGAAGUUCUGUAUCAACAUUUCCACAAUUCAGGGUUUUAUUUCAACGUGUUUAUGUAUAUUAAAAUGGCCAAGCUCAGGAAAACAUUUUUGCAUAAAACUGUCAGCCACAUGGCAUGACAUUGCAUGUCCUCCUCUAAGACAGCGAGUAGGGGUUGGAUUUGGAUUACACCAGCUUUUUAAGAUGCCUAAGCCCCCCUUAAGGACCCUCCAACAAUAACAAAAAGCACAGCGGACUGAAAAGACAUCACACAAAAGCAGAAUGAUCGAACCACAAAAUGAACAGGCUAAUGGCGCCCUCUGCUGAGUUUAAUGAGACAGUGAGGAUUUCAAAAGCUGAAGGCAUGACUUCACAGCCAUUUGUCUCGAUAACGAUACAAGACGAGUUAUUAAAGCUGGACAUUGCCAUGAAAUGUCAAAUUUAACAUGUAAUGAUGACAAGAUUACAUGGAAAACUAAUAUUUAUGACUAGAAAUCAAAAUACAUUUAAAACAAUGAACAAAAACACUGCAGGAACACAAUCGCCCCAUGAGGCCUAUUUUUAAAGCAUACAGUCAGCUAUUUCCAUGUGUAUGAAAUAACUGGGUGUUCUGAAUCAUGCACUUUAAAACACAGCCGGUCCCAUGGGUGUGACGAAGCUGACUCACACCUUCCUCCCCUCCACGCCUCUCAGUGAUGGAAGCAGGGUCUUAUUGCAGACACAAGACUGGAGUAGGACUCCUACUGGUUCUCCUCUCUGAGCCCACCUCACCACCGCCAUCACGAUCCGCCUCCUUCAGGUGCGCAGGGCUUUGACAGAACUGCUGCAGUACCUGUGGUUGGCCUGUGGUGGGAGCUGUAGCAGAAGGAGGAGAGCAGCUGGCUUCGUCCUCCAGCUGCUGGAAUGUCACGGCUCAGAUUGAUGGUGCUGUGGUAAAAUCCCCUCUUACACAUGCUCUAUUCAUGGAAAGUCUGAUGCUGAUGCCUUGUAGUGCGUGUGGGCUUCAUUUGUUCUUGUAUUACUACACUGAGUGACAACUACAAUAAAAUAACACAACUUAUCUCAAAAUGAUAUUUUAUCAUUUCCUACAUUUCCAACUGACAUAAUAGCAAAAACUGGAUCAAAGGUAAUUCAAUUUUUUGUCAAAUUUAAUUUUAAGUGAGCUAAAGCUUUCUCCAAGAUUAACAAUUCAUCGAGUGAUUAUCCCAAAGACUCUUUAAAGAAUCCCUCGAGUUGUCACACUGGUACAACCUCCUGAAUAGAGUUCAAAAAAAUCAUUAGUUCAUCUUAACAAUUCCUUGAAACUCCUGAGUGUGACUUUGUGAGGUCAAAAUGGCCGCCUUAGAAAUAAGGUCAAAUACAUUUAAGUCUGCCUCAAUACCACUGAGACAAAUUCUGGUACAAUUCCUCCUGUAACUUACAACUGCAUGACUUAAACUGAAUCACAACAAGGUGAGAGGGAACGAACAUCAUGCUGAGAACAUGAGCAGCUGAUGGAGUGCAGCACUGUAUGAAUAUAAAUGUAUUAAUAAUAGUGCAGGCAGGAAUGUAUGCUGGGGAGCAUGUGGCAUGCCUGCUCCAGCUAACAUGCUUACUCUCCUCCCCUGCCUGCAGCAGCUAUAUUUAGCUCGGGUGGGAUGCUGGAAGCAGCCGUGACUGCAGAAAGUGAGAGAGGGAUGAAAGGUUUAACCCUUUGUAGCUGUGACGGCCAUUAAAACACAGCAGAGAGCUUUACUCAUGCAGGAGACUCCUUGAUAGAAAAAGCAAACUGCACAGGAGGCGGAGGGCUGGCAAUCUGAUUCCCUAUGCAAAGACAGGAUCAAACAAAGGAAUCUGGAACAUUGUCCACUCAAGGCCAAUAACCUUGUUUUCUGGAAUGAUGAUUACUCUGACUUUAUCACAUAAAUAGAUCCCCUUAUGGUGAUACAAUAUCUACUGUAAAAGGCAGGCUCAUUGUCUGCAAGCACACUGCGGCAGAUACCACCUGCAACAACUCUAGAAGAGAUCCAGCUCUGCAAAGACCACAUGUAUUCAUCACAAAAAAAGACAGAAAAGGACUAUCUCCACAAACCUCAGAAACACAUCUAUACAUAUAAAUACAUUACUAUCCUCAAACAGCGACACUGUGUGCCCUUUGGGAAGUCCGUCUAAAGGUCCUGCUAAAAAUCUCUAGAGACAGGGCUAAACCAACUGCUGUAUCUACUAGGAGCUGAUUGAAAAAUAUGAUGACCUUCAAGCCCUCACAAAAAGUAGAAUUCCCCAUUGUCACCAUCCAAGGUUACUUUUAUGGCAUUUUGCCUGUUUCUAGUGAUCUUAUAGUACAAUGUUCCAAGGGGAGUGAGAUGAGAAUGACAUGUAGGGUUUCCAGCCAGAUCAAAGAUCAUCAGGGUGUCCAACCUUGCAGGAACAGUUUUCUGAUCUUAAAAAUUUAGUAAGGUUUUACAUAUUUGCAAGGGUGAUCCAGCUGCCCAUCAACAAAUUCUCUGUUUUUGUAAAAAGAAGUUCCAAAAAAAAUUUUUUUCCUUUUAGAGUGUUUCCAAACCACCUUAACUUCACUAAAUGGGCUGCUAAUAUGAAUAUAUUGGCUCUAUAUCAGUCCAAAGCACCCACAGCCCACAAACAUGAUAGCCAACUGACACAGAUUUAUGGUUCAUACAUACUAAUUCAAGUUAGGGGGUCAAUCCCUCAACAAAACAAGGUAGGUUGGCAGGAAAAUCUGUGAUGUGUUGUAAUAUAACUCCAUAUUGUAAUGGCGAUACUGAAGCGUAGUAGCUAUACAGUUUCCAUCUUUCAGCUUCAAAGGUCCCAUAUUUUGAAAAUCCAUUUUUGUAGUGUUUUGUACAGCCUAAAAACUUGGAGGUGAAAACUAAAUCCUUUGAGAAUAUGCAGACACUUACCACUGCCAUUCCUCUAGGCUAAUAUGGCUAAUGUUACCAUUAACUUUGAAUGUAUGUCAACAGGUCAGAGCUCUGUGGAAAUUAAGGGAUGGUGGAAACUUAAAGACCCAUUUGAAACCAAUAAACUAGACUGGUUGGGUUAUGGGUUUUAAUGUCACCUGUUGUUCAGUGAAACCUAAAUUCAGACGAUGUUUACAUCUGUUUUCUUCUCUCUUGCUCUCUGUGCUCACAUAUAGUGCAUUUUAAUACAGUAAAAAAGUUCAAAACAAUCGCUUUUACUUGACAGGGCAAUAUUUAGCGAUAUUUCCCUGUCAAAUAAACGUGGUCAACUGUUUUGCCUCGUGCUGUCAAUCACAGAUGCAAAGAGAGUCUUCUUCCUGAAAGAGGCAAUGAGAGCAGCUUAACUGUAUUGAAAGCUACGGACACAGAAACAGCCCAUUUAGAGCAUGACUAAAACCAGGAGUUACACAGUCAUGUUAAAAUUAACCAUUUUUAAAAACUUGAACAUUUGUAACUGACAAAUUGAAAGAUAUAUUCUGAGCACAAUAUGGGACCUUUAAGAGAUCCACUGCUAACAUAGGCCCUAAAUAUUGAAUAGGCUUUGCCCACUGAAUAAAAAAACUAUGAAAAAAAUUACAAUUCAAACAUGCUUUUAUUGAACAAACUCCUCAUUAAUAGUCUGGCUGGGGCUUCAUCUUGAAUGGUUUCUGUGCCCAGGAUUCAUCUGAUAGGUCAAAUAUUUGCAUGCUACUCAGACAUGAUUUUAAAGUGGCCUCUGCACUUUGUUCCACAGAAACACAGGUGCACAUAAUCAAAAGCUACAGAAGGUUAAUCAGGAAAGAGCUCUUUUUUCUCGCUAAACUCUUGUUUUCUCUAUUCUGUUAACAGUCAGUGCCAGCAAGGGCAGACUUGGGAGAACCAACAGAGGCAAAAACUCCCUGACCUCACUGAUUUAUCCAUUAAACAAACCCAACACAUUUCACCUGCAUGUGGUAAAAUGGGUUGUUACCAGUGAGGAACAAUGUUUAGAUGUAGGGCAGGCAAACGGAUGGGUUCAGCAGUGAGGGGCUGAGAAUGAGGCCAUGUCCCAAUGCCCCCAACCCUCUUCCACAAGCACAACAGCAUCGUCUCUAACCACAGCACAACAAAAGGAGCAGAGAGCAACACUCACCUGGCAGUCGAAAUCUUGAAAGUUGCGUGCGUUCUGCAAGAAAAGAAAAAGAGGAUGCGAGAGAGUAGAUGGGCAGAGAGGCGAGAGUGGGCAGCAGACAACAGAGAAGAUUCUUAUGGGAUUCAUUUGUAGGUACAACAUGUACUUGGGUUUGGAGGCAGAUGGUGGCUACAGAGCCAUCUUUCCUUUUACUGCUGACAUAGUUGUGUAGCAGAAAUCAUGGUAAAAUCAUUUCUUUAACAAGUCUACAAUCCUGCGUUACUUACAUGUAUUUUUCAGAUAAUGAUGAAAAGUGACGAAGCCAGUUUAAAGGAAUGAAAAGUGUUUUCUUAGGCUUUAACAUAAGUGAAUCUCAACAUGUGAGCAACACUUUCAUAUAUAUAUAUAAAAUAAAAUAUAUAUAAUAAAACAUGUUUAAGCUCUAUGUAGAAAACAUCUUCAUCACAGUAAACUGCUUCAACAUGUUGAAGAUAAAGAUGGGGGAGUUUUUAAUAAAUUAGCAUAUUCUCCAUAUAAUGUGAUGCAGCUCUGCUUAAACGGAUGAAACUCCCAUCAGCUGUUGGACUGAACAAGAUCACUGACGGUACCCUUUUGUAUCAGAUAUCAAGACAUCAGCAGCAGAUUGUAUAAGUCUUGUAAGUGAUGAGUCAGACUUGCCAUCCUGUUGCCUAUAAUCAUGUUAUAGGUGGCUUGAAAAGAAUCAAAAGUCACAUAUAUUCAUAACUCCUGAUGAUAAUACAUGUUUAGUUGGUCUUUACUGUUGUUUUGGUUACUUUGCAGCUGCGGACAGUGUUUUUUUUCUUCCUCUUUCCUAGCUGCAUGAUCAGUUAAAAUCUUGUAUCAUCAGUAUGGUAAUUACAACCUGUUUCUGCAUAGAACCAAAAAGAAAAUGAGGAUCACUGUUAUCAUAUUAUCAUCUCCAUCUACUUUCAAGAUUCCUGGUUUAACUUUUUAAUGAGCUGGCCACUAGGUGGAGUGAGAGCCCAUCGCUGAGGUAACGCAAACCCCCUCAGACCUGAUACGCCAGCAUCGCUCCUCCUCUGAGGCUCUGCACCCUCCUGACUGUUCCCAGGGGAGAACAAAACACCCGGUGUAAACACCCUCUUUCUAAUCAGUUAAUCAGCUGCUGAGAUGAAGCUGGGAAGAGAAGGAGGACGGAAGAGGACAGGAGGAGCUUUGAUCUGCCAUUUGGCUGUUUCUUUGCAUCUUCUGUCUGUUCUCCUCGUCGCUCACUUGAUAGAGUCUUUCAAGGUUUCAGAAAAAAAAAAAGAUGAAUUUCUUCCAGCUUCUCUUUUGAUCUUUCUUCGUUCUUGCUAGACUGUUUUCUGUGACUCUCUUACAUUUCACACCUCCUUCUCUUCUACUCUAUUGCCUCAUUCUGUCUACAACGGUUUUUCUUUUUUUUUCCAAAUCGACUUGCUCUCUCGUUUUUUUCCCUUCUUUUCCUCUCCCUCUCGACGGUUGAGCAGAUAUGAAUAAUUCACUUUGAUGAACAAGACUGCAGAGUGUGCUUGCUUGGUAUAUUAGUGUAUGUAUUUGCCAAGGACUGCCAUAGUGGGAGCUGAUUCACUUACAGCGGCACAAAACAUGUCUUUUCACUUUGUGUGUGUGGUUAUACAGAUGUUUUCAGGUGUACAGCCGAGUGUCAGUAUUGUCUCGUUCUCACCACAACUUACCUUAUUGGUCAGCAGCGGCUUGAUCUCAGUCAGCUGUACAUCCUGCAGCUCAUCCAUCUUCCUGUCUGGUCACUCUAAACCACUCUGUCCAACAAGAGAAAGAGAAAAAAACAUUAUACUCUCCUUUAAUAAAUAAGAGCAGCUGGCCAAGCAACAUACAUAUGUACUAAAGACACUGCAGCCACUAAGAUUGCUGUAGACAAAAAACAUGCACAUCAAACAAAAAAUUAUGUCCAUCUUUCUAUUGACUGUUCAAAAUGACUGAAUAAAAGAAG